rnacentral:rRNA from 1 species
CGGCCCAGACUCCUACGGGAGGCAGCAGUGGGGAAUAUUGGGCAAUGGGCGCAAGCCUGACCCAGCAACGCCGCGUGAAGGAAGAAGGCUUUCGGGUUGUAAACUUCUUUUAAGAGGGAAGAGCAGAAGACGGUACCUCUAGAAUAAGCCACGGCUAACUACGUGCCAGCAGCCGCGGUAAUACGUAGGUGGCAAGCGUUGUCCGGAUUUACUGGGUGUAAAGGGCGUGCAGCCGGGUCUGCAAGUCAGAUGUGAAAUCCAUGGGCUCAACCCAUGAACUGCAUUUGAAACUGUAGAUCUUGAGUGUCGGAGGGGCAAUCGGAAUUCCUAGUGUAGCGGUGAAAUGCGUAGAUAUUAGGAGGAACACCAGUGGCGAAGGCGGAUUGCUGGACGAUAACUGACGGUGAGGCGCGAAAGUGUGGGGAGCAAACAGGAUUAGAUACCCUGGUAGUCCACACUGUAAACGAUGAAUACUAGGUGUGCGGGGACUGACCCCCUGCGUGCCGCAGUAAACACAAUAAGUAUUCCACCUGGGGAGUACGAUCGCAAGGUUGAAACUCAAAGGAAUUGACGGGGGCCCGCACAAGCGGUGGAUUAUGUGGUUUAAUUCGAAGCAACGCGAAGAACCUUACCAGGGUUUGACAUCCUGCUAACGAAGUAGAGAUACAUUAGGUGCCCUUCGGGGAAAGCAGAGACAGGUGGUGCAUGGUUGUCGUCAGCUCGUGUCGUGAGAUGUUGGGUUAAGUCCCGCAACGAGCGCAACCC